UACGGGAGGCAGCAGUGGGGAAUAUUGCACAAUGGGCGAAAGCCUGAUGCAGCUAUGCCGCGUGUAUGAAGAAGGCCUUAGGGUUGUAAAGUACUUUCAUCGGGGAGGAAAAAACAAAACUAAUAAUUUUAUUUCUUGACGUUACCCGAAAAAGAAGCACCGGCUAACUCCGUGCCAGCAGCCGCGGUAAUACGGAGGGUGCUAGCGUUAAUCAGAAUUACUGGGCGUAAAGAGCACGUAGGUGGUUUUUUUAAGUCAGAUGUGAAAUCCCUGGGCUUAACCUAGGAACUGCAUUUUGAAACUGAAAUACUAGAGUAUCGUAGAGGGAGGUAGAAUUCUAGGUGUAGCGGUGAAAUGCGUAGAUAUCUGGAGGAAUACCUGUGGCGAAAGCGGCCUCCUAAACGAAUACUGACACUGAGGUGCGAAAGCGUGGGGAGCAAAACAGAAUUAGAUACC
rnacentral:rRNA from 1 species